UGACCUCAAAUCAGGUAGGACUACCCGAUGAACUUAA
rnacentral:rRNA from 1 species